rnacentral:rRNA from 1 species
UACGGAGGGUGCGAGCGUUGUCCGGAAUCACUGGGCGUAAAGGGCGCGUAGGCGGCGCGGAAAGUCAACGGUGAAAGCUUGGGGCUCAACCCCGAGUCGGCCGUCGAUACUUCCGUGCUCGAGCACUGUAGAGGCAGGUGGAAUUCCGGGUGUAGCGGUGGAAUGCGUAGAGAUCCGGAGGAACACCGAUGGCGAAGGCAGCCCCCUGGGUCGACACUGACGCUCAGGCACGAAAGCGUGGGGAGCAAACAGG